UCGAGCGGCAGCGCGGAUGUAGCAAUACAUCUGGCGGCGAGCGGCGGACGGGUGAGGAAUGCGUCGGAAUCUGCCUCUUUGUGGGGGAUAACGUAGGGAAACUUACGCUAAUACCGCAUACGACCUACGGGUGAAAGUGGGGGACCGCAAGGCCUCACGCAGAGAGAUGAGCCGACGCCUGAUUAGCUAGUUGGCGGGGUAAAGGCCCACCAAGGCGACGAUCCGUAGCUGGUCUGAGAGGAUGAUCAGCCACACUGGAACUGAGACACGGUCCAGACUCCUACGGGAGGCAGCAGUGGGGAAUAUUGGACAAUGGGCGCAAGCCUGAUCCAGCCAUGCCGCGUGUGUGAAGAAGGCCUUCGGGUUGUAAAGCACUUUUGUCCGGAAAGAAAAGCAUUCGGUUAAUAACCGGGUGUCAUGACGGUACCGGAAGAAUAAGCACCGGCUAACUUCGUGCCAGCAGCCGCGGUAAUACGAAGGGUGCAAGCGUUACUCGGAAUUACUGGGCGUAAAGCGUGCGUAGGUGGUUCGUUAAGUCUGAUGUGAAAGCCCUGGGCUCAACCUGGGAAUGGCAUUGGAUACUGGCGACCUAGAGUGCGGUAGAGGGGUGUGGAA
rnacentral:rRNA from 1 species